CCUGCCUUAGUGUUUCGUGAAUCGUGCUUGAAAAUUCGAAACUAAUUUCUUUCGUUUGAACCGUUAAGAUGGAAGAGAUGAGUUCGAAACGACGUGAAAAAUUAUAGCGAACAAUCAAGAAAGAUAUUUUGACGUCAUUGACAAUUAUUUACCAAAAUCAAUGUUUUUCGAAUAUUAUCCAAAGGGUAGUACGCUUGGUUACAAGGUUGGGGACGAAAAUUAUUUGCUGACCGCGGAUGAUGCAAACAUAUAUCUGGCUAUCAAGUGAGAAUAUUCUUGUGACAUUCAGGCGAUAUCAUAAUGUCCGCUUCAUGGGGACAUUCCACGGUGAUAUUCAUGUGACAUUAGCGUCAUAUUCGUAUGAUAAUGAGGGAAUAUUCCCGUGAAAUUCAUGUAAUAUUGAGGGGAUAUCCCCGCACGGAAAAAAAUAGUUCGUGAAACUUUCGUAAACUAGUAGUUCACUUUUGGACGGGCCCAAAGUUUGGAAAUCUUUCAUUAACUUUUUCCAAGAUUUCACGAACUUUUUUUUGUGCGCGUGCGCAGACAUUGAUUGUUAUGAAGAGAAUGAUGAACGUUCGUGAAAUCUUGGAAAAAGUUAAUGAAAGAUUUUCAAACUUUGGGACGCAAAGGAAAAUUUUUUCCCUCCUAAUGAUAACCUAAUGAUUAUGGAACUUGUAUUUUUUUCGAGCGCGUCCAGAUGGUUUGACUGUACGUUGUCUAAUUAAGGCUCCUCUGAAUGGUUUACUUUCUUUCUCUGAAUAGUGUGCAUGUGAUGGCUUAUGCAUUUGGAAACAGUAUUAGUUUAACAAAGAUUUUUAUUUAAACAGGUAGAACAGUUUGCACAUUUAACCUGCUGCGAAGAAUGGCUUCAAAAGAACCCUGGACAUAAAACGAAGGUAAAGAAAACAAAGAAACCUACUGCUCAGGAAGUAAGCACUUAGACUGUUAGCACUUAUAAGACUCAGACAAAUAA